AGAGAGAGAGAGAGAGAGAGAGAGAGAGAGAGAGAGAGAGAGAGAGAGAGAGAGAGAGAGAGAGAGAGAGAGCGAGAGCGCGCGCGCUUCUCCUUCUCUCACUCGGUUCCUCCCCAGACUCUGAGCGGAGCCUGGGACACACGGCGUCUUUUGUGCGUUCCGUCUGCUGGACAGACGCGCCAUUGAAGGGCCGAGGAGGAGGAGUCCUCCCCUUCCUCCUCCUCGUGGAUUCCUGAGUCCUCUGUCCCUCCCUCCCUCCUCCUGCUCCCUCCCCUCCCUCCUCCUCCUCCUCCUCCUGGUGCCUUGUGGUUCUUAUUCUCCUGUUGUGGAGUGUCAGCCCUAUGAUGGAGCGCUGGCUCCCUCAGAGGAGAUGUGUUGACGUGUCUGACUGGCAUGAUGUUGAUCACACUAGCUCUGACUCUUUUGAUCCGGUUUUAGACUUGCUUUUACUUUCCCUCCAGUGACUCUCAGCAUUGACAAAAGUCUCUCUUGACUUUAAUUUGCGUUUCCCGGCCUCUCCAUGAUCAUAUCUCAUGAGGUCAGACUUCUAAAGGGACUAAUCCUCCAAUCAAAGAUCAGGGAUUUUAAAGGUACUCAAACCCUGUCCCUGACGGAUCUAUGUCUCUGUCUCUGUCUCUGUGUCUCUGUCUCUGUCUCUGUGUCUCUCUCUCUGUCUCUCUGUCUCUGUCUCUGUCUCUGUCUCUGUGUCUCUCUGUCUCUGUCUCUCUGUCUCUGUCUCUCUGUCUCUGUCUCUCUCUCUCUCUCUGUGUCUCUGCCUCUCUCUCUCUCUCUGCCUCUCUGUGUGUCUUCUCUCUAACCCUAGACCACCAGUGUCCACAACAUGUUGUGACCCGUGUCCCGACGUGUUAGUGGGCACACUGGGUAUACUGGGUGGUUUGUAAUGGAGAGUGGUGUAGACUCAGCUGGCUGCUCCUUCUUCACACGCCAGACCACUUGCACAACGUGUGUGUGUGUGUGUGUGUGUGUGUGUGUGUGUGUGUGUGUGUGUGUGUGUGUGUGUGUGUGUGUGCGUGUGUGUGUGUGUGUGUGCGCGCGCAUUUCAUUCACGCUUACUUACACAGGAAUGAGUUGAGGGGGUGUUGAAACAGAGAGGAAGUGUCAGACUGCACUGACGUGUGUGUGUGUUGUGUGUGUGUGCACUAGCUGGCUGUGUUUUUUCAGACCACAAACAGUGGAUUCUCAUGCUGUAGCUGUUUCUCCAUUAUUUGUGGGCCAAACAGGUGACCAUAACAUUACCAGUCAAGCAGUAGUGGUGGUGGUGGUGGUGGACUGCACUGAUAUUUGAUAUACAAGCGUUGUAAUGCUAGGCAGGUCUUCUCUCAUCUGCUGCCACUGCUACACACAUACAGCCCCACACACACACAUGCAUACAUACACCCUUUCCUGUCAGUGCCCUUAUUAGGGCAAAACUCCACCAACGCUACCCCCCAGCCAACCCCCCUGCACUCUAGGACACGCCCUCCUGUCACAUGUCACUUUUGCUCCAAUGAAAAGUCCAGACUUUUCUCUGCCUUUCUGGAAAGACAGGCCAAAACAACCACACGCUUUUCACAACUGACCCAAUGACGCACACAUGAGUGAAUUUGUUUCAUGUUCAUAUAUACUAGUUGUAUAUUAUUUGGUAUUUUAAGUGGUGGUGGUCAAGAUAAUUAUUCUGAGUUUUGUUUUCUUGGUUAACCUUGAAUUGAGUGAGUGACUAACAUUAUUAAUGCAGUCCUGAUUCAAGUUUACACAAAUGUUGUGGAGCGCUUUUAUCUUGAAAUUCCAUCUGUCUCCUCAUUCACGGCUCUGCCCGGAAACAGAAUUGAUUGCUGAGCAACAAUGGAGAAAAACAGUUUGUGUGCAUCUUUUAUAAUGUGGCCAGUGUUGGGUAGUAAGCUGUCUAAGCAGGCCAUGUCCAGCCGGGGCAUUAUGUGGGCCUAUUGUUUCUUUAUUAUCUAGUUCCCUGUUUUGUUUUAUUGGGCUGGCAUGUAGGUCAAGCAUUGUCAUGCUGUUCCUUUGUCAGUGCCAGCAGCAGUAUGAACUAGAAAGCCACUAGUGACAGGCUGACGCAGGCAUCACACUGCCAUCAGGUUCAAGAGUUCAAUGGUGCACUUCAGACUGGAACCCUCCUUCCAGAAUCCCAGUAGGCCGAAUGGUGUCAGUCUUCUGAUUUCAAAGACCAGCCCUCUUUGUUGUGGGGGGGUCGCCACCACCUAGGAGGUCAGGGUCCGGCAUGUGAUGACCUCAUGGGUACCAUCCCCCAGCGCCUCCCUUUGUGGGCGCUGGGGUUGACCCCGUGGGAGAUGAACUGCGAGUUGACAUACUGCAUGUUCACAAAUACUGGACCUGAUACAUAGAUGUGUACAAAUACUGGACCUGAUACACAGAUGUGUACAAAUACUGGACCUGAUACACAGAUGUGUACAAAUACUGGACCUGAUACACAGAUGUGUACAAAUACUGGACCUGAUACACUGAUGUUUACAAUUAGUAGUAGAAUACAAAUACUGGACCUUUUUAGUAAUAGAGUACAAAUGCACAGAAAGAUUUUAAAAUGUACAAGUACUCCGAGAUAGAGCCAAGGGUUUUGUAAAUGGCAGGACUUGGAUCAGAAAACGGGGUGAGGCGUACUGAAAUAUGAAUAUAUAUGUGUGGGAGGGGGCCGUCCAGACAGCCUUUCGUGGGGACCCCCCACACACUGUGUACCUCUAGGUGUUAAUAGGCCUUCUUUAAACCAACCCGCCCCGUGUGGGGUUUCCCCUGGAGACUCAAACAGAAGAUAUUUGGGGUCCCUUUGUGUUUGUCCAAAGUCCCUGAGGGGAACCCUCCAGCACAUCAGGAGAGGCCAGGGGUUUGUAGUGUAGUACUUUAUACUGUCAGGGGUUUGUAGUGUAGUACUUUAUACUGUCAGGGGUUUGUAGUGUAGUACUUUAUACUGUCAGGGGUUUGUAGUGUAGUACUUUAUACUGCAGGGGUUUGUAGUGUAGUACUUUA
ensembl:lncRNA